UACGGGAGGCAGCAGUGGGGAAUAUUGCACAAUGGGCGAAAGCCUGAUGCAGCUAUGCCGCGUGUAUGAAGAAGGCCUUAGGGUUGUAAAGUACUUUCAUCGGGGAGGAAAAAACAAAACUAAUAAUUUUAUUUCUUGACGUUACCCGAAAAAGAAGCACCGGCUAACUCCGUGCCAGCAGCCGCGGUAAUACGGAGGGUGCUAGCGUUAAUCAGAAUUACUGGGCGUAAAGAGCACGUAGGUGGUUUUUUUAAGUCAGAUGUGAAAUCCUUGGGCUUAACCUAGGAACUGCAUUUUGAAACUGAAAUACUAGAGUAUCGUAGAGGGAGGUAGAAUUCUAGGUGUAGCGGUGAAAUGCGUAGAUAUCUGGAGGAAUACCUGUGGCGAAAGCGGCCUCCUAAACGAAUACUGACACUGAGGUGCGAAAGCGUGGGGAGCAAACGAGGGAUUAGAUACCCGU
rnacentral:rRNA from 1 species